rnacentral:lncRNA from 1 species
GUCAUGUGCAAGUAAUAUUCUGCAAGCCAGCCAUCAAAAGACCAAAGUCAUUUAACAAAAUUAAUUCGGGUACAUGAAGUUAUGGUUUAUUGAAUUUUAAUUGUUUAUUGAACAUUACUUAAAAAAUUUGUUGCUUUUUUUAUACUCAAUAAAUUUGGACAAUGAUAUUAAAAUGAUAUUGGAUAAUUUAAAUCGACAUCUUAGGAUGACUCGAUUCGAAAACAACUUGGAGCCACUACAAGCAAUUUAAUUAAGUUACUGUUGCUCAUGGUCCAACUGAAUGACCCAAGUUGUGGUUAUUAGUUGGAUUGUGUUAUGUAUUGGCCAAAUUAUUCUUAGUUAGCUGUGGUCCUAAAAUGGCAGCCCAUUUAGUGAAUUUUGGCCCAACUGGAGUGACCUAACUAUAAAUAUCCACCUCUUUACACCCGUUUUGAGCGGGUGUGUGAUUAUGCAAAUUAGAGAAAAGUGUGUGCUUUGUGUUUGACGCGAAAAUUGGUGAUGGCCUCUUUUAUUCUCCCUUUUAUAUAUAUUCUUCCACACUUUUUAUUGCCUUUGUAGAUUACAAAUCACCACCACCAAGUAUACCCUUCGUGGGUGAGUAAAUUUGAGGCAACCGUGUGUAAAUAGUUGUGGGUCGGAACCUCCUCGAUUGGUGUUUGUUUGGUAAUUUUUCUCAGCCUGAAUUCGAGAUUUUAAAGAGCUUUCUCAACAAAUGGUAUCAGAGUUUUCAUAGAAAUAUUUGAUUUUUAAGGGCAAAAAUCAAGCAAAAUUGGCCUGAAAUCAAGUUGAAAGACAGGUAGAAAACUAGACUAAAGCUGUCCAGAUUUUCUUCAAAAUCGACUGGACCAGUUUUAUUGAUUUUUGGCUAAACCACUUACAUGUUGGAGAAAUCAGGACUACCAGUAGGCUGUGUGGGUGGAGACGGUUCAAAAUGGCCAACGAAUGAGACCAUGCGAAGUCGCUCCCAUCGAUGCGUGGAGAUGUGUACGGUGGACUUGGGUGAUAGUCCGAAUAGGCAAUUUACUCCGAGAGGUGUGAAAAACCCUAUGGUGAUGUUCAUUUCAGUUUUGAGAAAUAUGGUGAAUUCUGGAUGAUUUUGCUCUUAGACGUUCGAAUAUCGAGUAUCAUUUUAUGUUGCCGCAGUUGUUGAAAACUUCAAGGCGAAUAAUGAUAGCCCUAAAACGCUGAAUUCGCAUACUCCUUAUUUACAGACCAGCGGAUAUGGUCUGCUAGGUAUCGUAUUCUUUUCCUUUUAUUAUUAUAGUUAAAGCUAUCGUGUGGGAUAGUCAUUUACUUUUCACAUUAAAGUCAUUGUAUGGGGUAAAAUUAUGUUUGAGGUUGCCAUGUAGGAUAAACAUUGCUUGUUGC